GGGCGCAUAGCUCAGCUGGUUAGAGCGCACGCCUGAUAAGCGUGAGGUCGAUGGUUCGAGUCCAUUUAGGCCCA
rnacentral:tRNA from 1 species